GUAGAAAAUGGACAGUCAUGAUCUAUCCAUGUUCAUAGGGAAGUUUCUUCUCAUCUAGUUUGUAAUUGUAUGAUUCUUAAUCCCAAACCAUAUAUUUUACCAAUUCAAAUUGACAAAUUGUGUAAUUUAUGAAAAAAAAACUUUUAGGAGCUGCUUUUUCUUUAAACAAAACUUGUAACGUGAUUCUAGUUGUAAUAUACAUUGCUAUCGUGUGCUCUGCAAAUUUUAGAUGAUUUUUCUUUCAUAGUUAGAUUUUAAAACUUUAUUCAUUUCACUACUGCUUUGCAAGAUCAUUUGAGUCCAACAAACUAGUUCUUACUGUUCAAGUUUCAACUUCUGCAGACAAAUCAGUUGGAUGUUCAGCUGAAAGCAGUGCAGUUGCUUGGUGACCUGUUUGCUUUACUUGACCGCAUUAUUACAGAAACAUUUAAGCUACUUUUCUCAUUUUUUAUAUUAAGUUCCCUUUUCUUCAACGACAUGUGAAGAGUUUCAAGCUGUUAGAAUUCUUAAUCUGGCAUCGUUCAUUUGGAUGUGGCAUUGAUGUGGUCUCUAUAACAUGGUGUAGUUUGGUUCAUGGAAUAUAUGGGCAUGCAUCAACAUGGUUGCAAAUGGUAGUGGUUCAUGCAAAAUCGUUCAUCCCCAAACACUCGUCUCUCUUCCAGAAAGCAACACAGGGAGAGUUUAGUUGAUGAAUGCUAAUGGUCGGCCCACCUGAUGAAUGGCUUGGAUCUUUCAGAGGAAAGUCCAAGAGCAGCUCUGCCAAACAUGGAUCAAUAUCCCAUGCAUGAUGUUGGUGAUUCUUAAAUAAACAUGGACAUAAUGGACUCAUUAUCCAACAUUGGAGAGUUUGUUAAAGCUACCCAGUCCAUUGGUCAAAGAUCAGUGGACUCUCCAAGAGAACCGUCAAGCAUUUUCAAGGAUUUUGUUCCGUCCUCGCAUACUCAUUGAUGUGAGCAAGAUAGACAUGACCAGAAUUGUGACUGGGAGCAUUACUCCAAGUUAACCUGUGAGAUUGGAGACAAAGUACAGAUAAUGGGGGAUGACCUCUUGGUCACCAACCCAAAGGAGUUCAUGAUCCUUCCCGUAGGAGCUUCCUCUUUCAUGGAGGCAAUGAAGAUGGGUGUGGAAGUAUAUCAUCAUUUGAAGGCUGUGAUAAAGAAGAAAUAUGGUCAAGAUGAAACCAAUGUCGGUGAUGAUGGCGGCUUUGCUCCUAACAUCCAAACGUAAUUGAAUUCAUGUUGUAUCGGUUUCAGUUUGUGAUAAAGAAGAGG